AUACUCUAUUAUCUACGGAUCAAAGAUAAUAGAGUAAGCUAUGCCAACUACCAUGUCUGAUCCAGGACUGUUGCCCAAAAUUACUGGAUCAGGAUAAAUUACUGUUACAGAAUGCUCAUGGUGUUAUUGAUGCCCGUGAGUCCAGUAUCAACAGUUUAGAGUAUAACCUCACCAAUGAGAGAGGGAGGGUCAAGGAACUGACCAAAAGGAUGCCAUCACUAGAGACCAGACUAUCAGGAAUAAUGGAGGAGACCAGCUCAGUGAAGAGACAGCUGGAGGAGAAGACAGGACAAUUACUAUUAACAAGGAAACAACUUAAAAUAGCAAGAGAGAAGAACUCAGAGAUUGAUAAGAAGAUGGAGAGUUUGGAGCAGAUGAGAGAGAGACUGAGUAACAUGGGCAUGGAGAACAGGACACUGAAGGAAUUCCUAACAGCAAAGACAGCAAUGGUGGA